GGCUGUCAGGGCUGCCCAUGUCCUGGGACCUCCAAAAUCUACUGAGAAUGAUGAAUACCUUGAAGAGUACCAAUGGUAUGACCGUGGAGACAAGGAGAAAGCAAGAAGAUCAAAGGAACAUGAACUAAUUUCAAAAGAAAAUGUUUUCUACAUCAAAGAGUCUUGUGAGACUGGUGAGCAACUGCGGCAAACUUCCUCUCUAAAGUCUGACACUGAAUGUAGUUCUAAAAACCUUUCCUCCUUUGCUAUUACAGAUGGAUGCCAAGAUACAAAGGACGAGACUAAAAACCUGACCAAGAGCAUUACCAAAGAAAGA